rnacentral:rRNA from 1 species
AACGAACGCUGACGGCAUGCCUAACACAUGCAAGUCGAACGAGACCUUCGGGUCUAGUGGCGCACGGGUGCGUAACGCGUGGGAAUCUGCCCUUGGGUUCGGAAUAACAGCGAGAAAUUGCUGCUAAUACCGGAUGAUGACGUAAGUCCAAAGAUUUAUCGCCCAAGGAUGAGCCCGCGUAGGAUUAGCUAGUUGGUGAGGUAAAGGCUCACCAAGGCGACGAUCCUUAGCUGGUCUGAGAGGAUGAUCAGCCACACUGGGACUGAGACACGGCCCAGACUCCUACGGGAGGCAGCAGUGGGGGAAUAUUGGACAAUGGGCGAAAGCCUGAUCCAGCAAUGCCGCGUGAGUGAUGAAGGCCUUAGGGUUGUAAAGCUCUUUUACCCGGGAUGAUAAUGACAGUACCGGGAGAAUAAGCUCCGGCUAACUCCGUGCCAGCAGCCGCGGUAA